CCUACGGGAGGCAGCAGUGAGGAAUAUUGGUCAAUGGGCGGGAGCCUGAACCAGCCAAGUCGCGUGAGGGAAGACGGUCCUACGGAUUGUAAACCUCUUUUGCCGGGGAGCAACGGGGUCCUUGCGAGGGCCCGAUGAGAGUACCCGGAGAAAAAGCAUCGGCUAAUUCCGUCCCAGCAGCCGCGGUAAUACGGAGGAUGCGAGCGUUAUCCGGAUUUAUGGGGUUUAAAGGGUGCGUAGGCGGGCUGUUAAGUCGGCGGUGAAAUGUCGGGGCCAAACCCCGGCCUGCCGUUGAAACUGGCGGCCUCGAGUGGGCGAGAAGUAUGCGGAAUGCGUGGUGUAGCGGUGAAAUGCAUAGAUAUCACGCAGAACUCCGAUUGCGAAGGCAGCAUACCGGCGCCCUACUGACGCUGAGGCACGAAAGUGCGGGGAUCGAACAGGAUUAGAUACCCGAGUAGUC
rnacentral:rRNA from 1 species